UACGGAGGGUGCGAGCGUUGUCCGGAAUCACUGGGCGUAAAGGGCGCGUAGGUGGCGGAGCAAGUCAACGGUGAAAGCUCGACGCUCAACGUCGAGUCGGCCGUCGAUACUGCUUUGCUCGAGCACUGUAGAGGCAGAUGGAAUUCCGGGUGUAGCGGUGGAAUGCGUAGAGAUCCGGAAGAACACCGGUGGCGAAGGCGGUCUGCUGGGCAGUUGCUGGACACUGAG
rnacentral:rRNA from 1 species